GAGUUUGAUCUUGGCUCAGAUUGAACGCUGGCGGCAUGCCUAACACAUGCAAGUCGAACGGUAACGCGGGGGCAACCCUGGCGACGAGUGGCGGACGGGUGAGUAAUACGUAGGAAUCUGCCCAUUAGUGGGGGACAACCCGGCGAAAGCCGGGCUAAUACCGCAUACGCUCUACGGAGGAAAACGGGGGAUCGUAAGACCUCGUGCUAAUGGAUGAGCCUACGUCGGAUUAGCUAGUUGGUAGGGUAACGGCCUACCAAGGCGACGAUCCGUAGCUGGUCUGAGAGGACGAUCAGCCACACUGGGACUGAGACACGGCCCAGACUCCUACGGGAGGCAGCAGUGGGGAAUAUUGGACAAUGGGGGCAACCCUGAUCCAGCAAUGCCGCGUGUGUGAAGAAGGCCUGCGGGUUGUAAAGCACUUUCAGAGGGGAAGAAAAAAUCGGGGCUAAUACCCUCGGUCUUGACGUUACCCUUAGAAGAAGCACCGGCUAACUCCGUGCCAGCCGCCGCGGUAAC
rnacentral:rRNA from 1 species